rnacentral:rRNA from 1 species
GACAUGCAAGUAGAACGCUUCUUACUUAGUGCUUGCACUAAGUAAGAGGAGUUGCGAACGGGUGAGUAACGCGUAGGUAACCUACCUUAUAGCGGGGGAUAACUAUUGGAAACGAUAGCUAAUACCGCAUAAGAAGAGUUGACACAUGUUAACUCUUUAAAAGGGGCAAUUGCUCCACUAUGAGAUGGACCUGCGUUGUAUUAGCUAGUUGGUGAGGUAACGGCUCACCAAGGCAACGAUNCAUAGCCGACCUGAGAGGGUGAUCGGCCACACUGGGACUGAGACACGGCCCAGACUCCUACGGGAGGCAGCAGUAGGGAAUCUUCGGCAAUGGACGAAAGUCUGACCGAGCAACGCCGCGUGAGUGAAGAAAGUUUUCGGAUCGUAAAGCUCUGUUGUUAGAGAANAAUGAUGGUGGGAGUGGAAAAUCCACCAUGUGACGGUGACUAACCA